UACGGAGGGGGCGAGCGUUGUUCGGAUUUACUGGGCGUAAAGCGUGCGUAGGUGGUUUCUCAAGUUGGGAGUGAAAGCCCAGGGCUUAACCCUGGAAUUGCUCUCAAAACUGGGUCACUAGAAUCUGGGAGAGGUGAAUGGAAUUCCGAGUGUAGAGGUGAAAUUCGUAGAUAUUCGGAGGAACAUCGAUGGCGAAAGCAGUUCACUGGACCAGUAUUGACACUGAGGCACGAAAGCGUGGGUAGCAAACAGG
rnacentral:rRNA from 1 species